GAUUAACGCUGGCGGCGUGCAUAACACAUGCAAGUCGAACGAAGUGGCGGACGGGUGAGUAACGCGUGAGUAACCUGCCUUAGAGAAGGGGAUAGCCUCUGGAAACGAAGAAUAAUACCCUAUGCUGUAAGAUGGACUUGCGUCAGAUUUGUUAGUUGGUGGGGUAACGGCCCACCAAGACAGCGAUCAGUAGCCGGCUUGAGAGAGUGUACAGUCACAUUGGGACUGAGACACGGCCCGGACUCUACGGGAGGCAGCAGUGUGGAAUUUUGCACAAUGGGGGAAACCCUGAUGCAGCGACGCCGCGUGAUUUAGAAGGCCUUCGGGUUGUAAAAAUCUUUUCUAUGGGAAGCAGUACCAUAGAAAUAAGGACCGGCUAAUUACGUGCCAGCCGCCGCGGUAAUAC
rnacentral:rRNA from 1 species